GUGCUCUUUGGCAGCACAUAUACUAAAAUUGGAAUGAUACAGAGAAUAUUAGCAUAGCAUCUGCACAAGGAUGACACACAAAUUUGUGAAGCGUUCCAUAUUUUU
rnacentral:snRNA from 1 species